UGAACGCUGGCGGCGUGCCUAAUACAUGCAAGUCGAGCGAACAGAUGAGGAGCUUGCUCCUCUGACGUUAGCGGCGGACGGGUGAGUAACACGUGGAUAACCUACCUAUAAGACUGGGAUAACUUCGGGAAACCGGAGCUAAUACCGGAUAAUAUAUUGAACCGCAUGGUUCAAUAGUGAAAGACGGUUUUGCUGUCACUUAUAGAUGGAUCCGCGCCGCAUUAGCUAGUUGGUAAGGUAACGGCUUACCAAGGCAACGAUGCGUAGCCGACCUGAGAGGGUGAUCGGCCACACUGGAACUGAGACACGGUCCAGACUCCUACGGGAGGCAGCAGUAGGGAAUCUUCCGCAAUGGGCGAAAGCCUGACGGAGCAACGCCGCGUGAGUGAUGAAGGUCUUCGGAUCGUAAAACUCUGUUAUUAGGGAAGAACAAAUGUGUAAGUAACUAUGCACGUCUUGACGGUACCUAAUCAGAAAGCCACGGCUAACUACG
rnacentral:rRNA from 1 species